AUACGGAGGGUGCAAACGUUGUUCGGAAUCACUGGGCGUAAAGGGCGCGCAGGCGGUUUGAUUAGUCAGAUGUGAAAGCCCACGGCUUAACCGUGGAAGUGCAUUUGAAACUGUCAGACUUGAGUACCAGAGGGGGUAGUGGAAUUCCCGGUGUAGAGGUGAAAUUCGUAGAUGUCGGGAGGAAUACCGGUGGCGAAGGCGACUACCUGGCUGGAUACUGACGCUGAGGCGCGAAAGCGUGGGGAGCAAACAGGAUUAGAUACCCCAGUAGUCC
rnacentral:rRNA from 1 species